rnacentral:rRNA from 1 species
CCUACGGGUGGCAGCAGUGAGGAAUAUUGGUCAAUGGACGAGAGUCUGAACCAGCCAAGUAGCGUGAAGGAUGAAUGCCCUAUGGGUUGUAAACUUCUUUUAUAAAGGAAUAAAACGAGGCACGUGUGCCUUUUUGCAUGUACUUUAUGAAUAAGGAUCGGCUAACUCCGUGCCAGCAGCCGCGGUAAUACGGAGGAUCCGAGCGUUAUCCGGAUUUAUUGGGUUUAACGGGAGCGUAGAUGGGUUGUUAAGUAAGCGGUGAAAUGCCCCCGCUCAACGGGGUGAAGUGCCAUAGAUACUGCCGUGCUGGAAUGCGGAAGCGGUGAGAGGAAUGUGUGGUGUAGCGGUGAAAUGCAUAGAUAUCACACAGAACACCGAUUGCGAAGGCAUCUCACGAAUCCGCGAUUGACGCUGAUGCACGAAAGCGUGGGUAUCAAACAGGAUUAGAUACCCGAGUAGUC